GAAAUCAAUCACACACAAUCAAAUAUGGCUAAUUGAAUAAUAGCAGCAAUAAAUUCACACUACUCAACAUGACUUAUCUUUGAAAGCUAAAGACCUUGAAUAAGGAACAAACGAUUGAAACCAAUUGAAUCACACUGAAACUGAAAACAGUUAGCCUAAGAAACCAUGGACUAAAUUAGUCUAAGAAAUACAAUAAAAAUAGAGCAUGAUACUAUAGUGUGCAUUCGAUGAAUAAAAAGAAAUUAAUUAUAUUUUAACUGGAAACCAAUUUGUAAAGUAAAUUGAAAAGAUAUCCUAAUCAUUUUUAGAACUGUGAGUAAAGAUGCAAAGUAUUGUUUGUCUAUCUUAUUAAUAAUAAGUCUAUGUGAUUCUCUUCUCUCCCAAAUCAGUUUUAGUGAUGCAGACUUUUAUCUCAACAGGAACAGUAGCAGAAGAUAUAAUGUUAUUGAAUGUGAUCCUCUUGUUCUCAAAGGGAUUGAGAGACCAGUAAGUAAUUUCUGUGCCCACUAUUUUCUGUUAGUCUAAAAACAGUUGAAGUUGUUGUUGGUACUCCGCACUCAGAGAAGUAUAAACAGGAUCUAAACAUAUAAAAACUAUUUGAAAUUACCUACUCUGAGGUAUUGCUGCGUUUAUAUACCUAUUUUUGACUAAUCAAUUUCUAGACAUGCAUACCUAUUUGAGAACUGAACUUAACCAAAAAGGCACACCAAGAGCACAAACACACAAUAACUUCUUUCAACAAAAUGUGUAACUCUCAGACCAUGAUCCUAUUUACAACAAAUAAAAAUAAUCAUGCAGUAUGCUCUGAGACCAUGAUGCUAUUUACAACCACACAUUGAGUAGAUAAACACAAAUGAUAUAUCUCCUUAGUUUAAGAGUUAAAUAAAGGGGGGUGAAAUUUGCACCCCCAAAAUUGCAAACCACACCCCAUUUUAUUUUUUUAAUAAUAUUUCAUCCCAAGUCUUUUUGAACUUCCCAAAAUACCCUUAAAAGUCAAAUUUUCUUUUCUUUUUGGGUCUGUUCUUCCCUUUCUCCAUCCUCUCUCUCUCUCUCUCCAACGAAUAAUCUCAGAGAUUAAUCUCUCUCUCUCCCUCUUUCCACCAUCACGUCGGCGAAUGGAACUGGAAUUGAAUCUCCGACGCACGAGCUAGAUCUCCGACGCGCGACGCCGAUUGGUAAGCCCUAAUCAGUCCUACGACAACCUCACACCCAAAUCGAUCGACCUCUUCUCCGCCUCUUACCUCUCAAUCCACUCUCAGACCAACGACCUCCUCACCUUCCUCGAGUCCACUCUCGAACCUGACUCCAUCUUCGCCAUCGAAAUCGCCAGCGACCACAAGAACUGGAAAUCCCGCGGCUUCGGCCGCAUCCAGUUCACCACCCUAGCCCACAAAGCCAGAGCUCAGUCUCUCUCCUCCUCCACCGACCUUGGGGCAAGAAGUCUACACCCUCUUCCAAUUUCAACCCACCAGAGAUCCAGAUGGAGAUGAUGAACCAGCAUUCCGGUUUCGGGUUACGGACUCGGCUAAUGUGGGAAAGAAGACAUCUUUCACUUGUUUUUUUUUUUUUUUUGUCGUCCUCUGAUAUUGAGAAAAAUGUGAAGCAGUAGACGCCAUGUCGCUUAGGACCAAACAUAUCAAUCCAACUCGCACAAGCUGUGGAGAAGAAUAAGCACCCACUACAACUCAGAGACCUCCGUCACAGAAAAUAAGGUAAGGAAUACCAGUGUGUGGUCAAAGCAGAGAGGGAGUGAAGAAAUGGGGGAUUUGUAUGUUUUGGGUCCGGCGGGUCGAGUUAAUGCUCUGCUUUUGAAGGUCGAUUUUUCUUCUUUGUUCUUACGGUUUGAGUUUCUUGCUUAAAGUUACUGAAAUUGGAAGAAAAGUUCUUGUAUAGCAAUGAGCAAUCUGCUAUUCGAUUUGGGAUUUUGGAUUGUAAUCUCCUCCCAAGUCCCGACUUUGUACUUGGAUUUUGUUUUCGAUUUUGCAGUUGGAUGAUUGGGUCUUGUUUUCAA